UACGUAGGGUGCAAGCGUUGUCCGGAAUUAUUGGGCGUAAAGAGCUCGUAGGUGGUUUGUCGCGUUGUUCGUGAAAACUCACAGCUCAACUGUGGGCGUGCGGGCGAUACGGGCAGACUAGAGUACUGCAGGGGAGACUGGAAUUCCUGGUGUAGCGGUGGAAUGCGCAGAUAUCAGGAGGAACACCGGUGGCGAAGGCGGGUCUCUGGGCCACUACUGACGCUGAGAAGCGAAAGCAUGGGGGAGCGAACAGG
rnacentral:rRNA from 1 species